AAAGAGAGCAGCCCGGAAAAUGGAGCGCAGGGCUAAAAGCAAUGCAGAAGCUUAUGCUGUGAAGACUGAACUUUGUCCAGACUUUGAAUUGGAGAUGUCCUAAAGGCUGCUAAAGCAAGUCUCAAUCCAGUAUGAUGUAGAGUGUCCAACAUUUUAAUUAUUUCAUUUAUUAUUAAGUAUUUUUGGAACAUCCAUAGAUUAUACUUCCA